CGUCGAAGCUGACCACCCUGCGGCCGCCGCCCGCCUCCUGGUCGCGGGCAUCCCGCAGGCGGGCGAAGUACUCGGCGGCGAAGCCCAGCAGGUCGGACGGCCGGUGCCGCAGCACCUCCACCGUGUAGCCCUGCAGCAGCUCGAUUCCCAGGGGAAGGCAACAGGCUGUGUGGCGUGGAGCCAUCGGCCCUUAAGGUUUGACGUUGCUGGAAACCUCGUCUUGGAAGAAAACAGCCCUGUACAAACAUGAGUCAAGGGGAAUACGGAUGUUGGCUUAGUGACGCCGCUACGAGUUUCAGUGUAAAUAUUUCUAUUUAAUUCUUCUUCUGUUUCAACAAUAAAAGAGCUGAAAUCAA